CUCACAGCAACUUUUGACUGUUUCACUUGAAUGCAACCAAGUGCUUGGCCCAUUUUUCAGCUCUGCAACUAGUAAUAUGUAUAAUAAAACAGUGUAUGAGAGUGGGAGACAAAUUUCUUUGCAUUAUAGCUAGAAGAUCACCAUCCAUGGCAUAAAGAUCCUUCUUUUAUCCAAAAACAUAAAUUCAGAAUGAGAUCACAAGAAAAUAUGAAGCAUUUAAGCAUAGAUCUAACGAAAAUGAUAUAACCAAAAGAAUAAACAAACAAAAAACUGAAAAUAUCAGACUCAGUAUUACAUAAUUCUUUUAUUUUCCUCUGUUUUCUCAGCAACCAAACAGAAAUCUCACGUCAACUAAAUGCACUUAUUUCAGACUAAUUCUGGUAUUGGCUUUCUUUUUUCUUUCCCCUCUUUUGUUUCCUCUCAGAAAGACAAAAAAGCAAACAAUAUCAAUUAGCACUAAAGGGAAUGGCCGCAGUGAUUUCAGUUUUCAGAGAGUCAGAGUGUGAAGUACGAACGGACUCGAAGAGACAUCUUUUUCGUUUUCCAUUUCAAAAAAUUUCUGAGCAACCAAAGGAGAGAAACAGAGUUCAAGUUGUAC
rnacentral:lncRNA from 1 species